rnacentral:rRNA from 1 species
UACGUAGGGUGCAAGCGUUAAUCGGAAUUACUGGGCGUAAAGCGUGCGCAGGCGGUUCUGCAAGUCAGAUGUGAAAUCCCCGGGCUCAACCUGGGAACUGCGUUUGAAACUACAGGGCUAGAGUAUGGGAGAGGGAGGUAGAAUUCCACGUGUAGCAGUGAAAUGCGUAGAGAUGUGGAGGAACACCGAUGGCGAAGGCAGCCCCUGGGUCAAGAUUGACGCUCAUGCACGAAAGCGUGGGGAGCAAACAGG